AAUUCGAUUAUGGAUCCCCAAUACUUUGGAGGGCAAGUCUGGUGCCAGCAGCCGCGGUAAUUCCAGCUCCAAUAGCGUAUAUUAAAGUUGCUGCAGUUAAAAAGCUCGUAGUUGAAUUUCGGGACCAUCAUGUUGGUCGUGCCUAGGUACGUACUGGCAUUGUUGGUUUCUCCCUUCUGACGAACCAUGAUGUCAUUUAUUUGGUGUUGUGGGGAAUCAGGACUGUUACUUUGAAAAAAUUAGAGUGUUUAAAGCAGGCUCACGCUUGAAUACAUUAGCAUGGAAUAAUGAAAUAGGACGUUUGAUUCUAUUUUGUUGGUUUCUAGGAUCGACGUAAUGAUUAAUAGGGAUAGUUGGGGGCAUUAGUAUUCAAUUGUCAGAGGUGAAAUUCUUGGAUUUAUUGAAGACUAACUACUGCGAAAGCAUUUGCCAAGGAUGUUUUCAUUAAUCAAGAACGAGAGUUAGGGGAUCGAAAACGAUCAGACACCGUUGUAGUCUUAACAGUAAACUAUGCCGACUAGGGAUCGGGUGACCUCAAUUAUGAUGUGUUGCUCGGCGCCUUACGGGAAACAGUAUUGGGGAUCCAUAAUCACUAGUG
rnacentral:rRNA from 1 species